GCGAGUGUAGCUCAGCUGGUAGAGCGCGACCUUGCCAAGGUCGAGGUCACGAGUUCGAGCCUCGUUACUCGCUCCA
rnacentral:tRNA from 7 species